UGCCAAGUUUCCCUAAGCUAAGGCCCUUAGGUAAAGUCAUGUACACUUCCUCGUCCAAAUCCAAAUCACCAUGAAGAAAUAUAGUGUUUGCAUCAAGUUGUUUAAGGAACCAUCCUUUCGAUGCUGCCAAGGCAAGAAGGAUUCGAAGUGUGG